rnacentral:lncRNA from 1 species
UUACGGCUUGGAUCCGUGGAUGGCGCCGUGGGACCGCUGGGAGGUUGACUGGCCGCGGGAUCUCUUGGAGAAGCUGGGAGGCAGACGAACGGCUGGACUGCAUUCGAACGGGCGCCUGGGAGGAGGCGUGGAUCACGGACGCGGCGUCGGAGGCUGGAGAUGUGGACGGCUUGGUGCUGGGAUCAUGGAUUGAAAUCGGGAAUGGAAGAUUGGCUGCGGUUCCUUGACGAUGCAUCGCGGGAUCACUGGAGGGGACGGUCGUCCGGGUCCACACGGAAGAGGGAGGAGCUGCAGACGCAUGAUUUUUGUGAGGAAUGAAUGCACGGAACGGCUGGGACGGGCUGGAUCUCUGCAUGCAUCACAGGAUCUUGGACAN